UUUCUCCACACCCUCUCCAGCACUUGUUAUCUGUAGACUUUUUAAUGAUGGUCAGUCUGAUGAGGAUGAGGUGUUACCUCAGUGUGGUUUUGAUUUUCAUUUCUCUGAUAAUUAGUGAUGUUGACAAUCUUUUCAUGUGCCUACUGGCUAUCCUUAUGUCUUCCUUGGAGAAAUGUCUAUUUAGGUCUUCUGCCCAUUUUUGUUUUUUUAGGGCCACAGCUGUGGCAUAUGGAAGUUUCCAGGCUAGGGAUUGAAUUGGAGCUACAACUGCCAGCCUACACCACAGCCACAGCAACACCAGGUGGGAGCUGUGUCCGUGACCUACACCACAGCUCAUGGCAAUGCCAGAUCCUUAACCCACUGAGUGGGGCCAGGGAUUGAAUCCACAUCCUCAUGGAUACUAGUUGAGUUGGUAAUCUGCUGAGCCACAAUGGGUACUCCCUCUGCCCAGUGUUUGAUAGGGUUGUUUGUUUCUUGUUAUUGAGUUGUAUGAGCUGUUUGUAUAUUUUGGAAAUUAAGCCCUUGUCAGUUGCAUCAUUUGUGACUAUUUUCCCCCAGUCCAUAGGUGGUUUUUGCAUUUUGUUUAUGGUUUCCUUUGCUGUGUGUCACAAAUUUAGAAUCAACAACCACUAGGGACCCAGCUCCAUGAGCCCACACACAUGUGAAUAUGCCAAGGUCUCCCUGACUCCCAGAUGAUCACCUACAUGGUUUUAAGUUUCACUCCACUGCAAACCAGGGCAGGGAUGCAUGUGUAGUUGUGGGUGAGAAGAUCUGUGUUCCUGUGUGCAUGUAUGAGAGAGACCUGUACAGGUGAAAGGUGACAUUGCAACCUUCCUCUCUUAGACUUGGUGCAAGAUAAAGGGAAGAGGAGGAAAAGGUGAAGUCUAGAAGUUCCUUAGAUAAGGAAUAAACUAAUUUGAUUUUCCAGGCUUGGGCAUCUAUGGGGAGGUUGGAGUUGGGCAAAUCAUAUGUAAUGGGCAGUCAGGAAGAGAAAUGAAAUGUGGAAGCCUUAUGUAUAUAUUUCCUGUGACUGUUGUAACAAAGUAUCACCAAAGAGCAGAAAUUUAUUCUCUCACAGUUCUGGAGGCUGGAAGUACAGAAUCAAGGUGUCAGUAGGGUCAUGCUCCCUCCAAAUCCUCUAGAGGAGGGUCCUUCCUUGCUUCUUCCAGAUUUUUGUGGCCCUAGGCAUCUGGUGGCAAACCUCCAGUCUCUAUUUGUCUUCACAUGGCCAGCCAUCCCCUGGGUCUGUGUCUGCACAUGGAGUUGUCCUCUCUCUGUGUGGAUCAAGUUUUCCUCUUCUUGGAGUUCUUGUCAUGGCUCAGUGGUAACAAACCCGACUAGUAUCCAUGAGGACUCAACUUUGAUCCCUGGCCUUGGUCUGUGGGUUAAGGAUCCAGUGUUGUUGUGAGCUGUGGUGUAAGUCACAGACACAGCUCAGAUCCCACACUGUUGCUGUGGCUGUGGUAUAGGCCGGCAGCUGCAGCUCUGAUUGGACUCCUAGCUUGGGAACUUCCAUAUGCCACAGGUGCAGUCCUAAAAAGCAAAACAGAAACAAAAACAAAUUUUCCUCUUCUUGUAAAGAUACUAGUCAUAUUGGUUUUAACCACCUAAUGACCUCAUCUUAAGUAAAUUGUAUUUCCAAAUAAGGUCACAUCCCCAGGUACCAGGUGUUAAGACCCAACAUAUCUUUUGUGGGAGACACAAUUCAGCCCAUAACACUUGUCUUUAGGAUUUGCUACCUUUAUUGCCAAUGUACUUUGACUUCUCUGAGCGUCAGUUUUCUCAUCUAUAAAAUGAGAUUGAGGAGUUCCCAUUGUGCUCAGUGGGUAAAGGACCUGAUGUUGCCUCCAUAAUGAUGUGGGCUUGAUCACUGGCCUUGUUCAGUGAGUUAAGGACCUGGCAUUGCUGCAAGUUGCAUCAUAGGUUGCAGAUGUGACUUAUAUCUGGUGUUGCUGUGGCUGUGGCAUAGGCUGGCAGCUGCAUCUCCAAUUCAACACCUGGUCCAGGAUCUUCCAUAUGCUGUGGGUGUGGCCAUAAAGAGAAAAGAAAAAGAAAAAAAAAAAAAAGAAAAUGAGAUUGAUAAGAACCUCCAUGAGGCUUAAAUGCACCAUGUGGUAAAAGCAGAUAUUACAGAGCCUGGCAGAGUAUAUUCCUAAUAAAUGGAGCAUCUGCUAGUGUAGACAACCCCUUUUAUCUCUGCAUUCACUAGGCUCUUUUGUAACUUGGGGGAGGAGUGAGGAGUUUGGUGAGGAUAUAGGGGAUGCAAGGGGGGGAAGAUGGAGAAAAAUAGUGUCCUAGUAGGACAUAAAUGGUCAGCCCCGAAUUGUGAUAAUUUGUGCUAAGUUGAAUAAAGGUACCAUUUUUGGAAGUGUGGUGAAGUUAAGGGAAACUCAUAAGGGCUGCACCCAGGCUAGAAACAGUUGGGAGAUCUUACCACCCAUAGAUCUGAGGAUGACCCUGGAGAGAGCUGUAUGAAAGGGGCCAUCUGUCAAGACUUGGAUUUUUGGGAAAGGGACACAGCAACCCUUCAGGGAGAAAGCCAGGGAAAUAUAUACCCAGCCCUCUGCAUCCUACCUAACAGAACCCCCAAGUUUGCUUGGUCAUAUGCUUCAUGCCUCCAGGGAAGCUGACCCAACCUUCAAUCCCAGGAGAGAAGUGUGAUUUGUCGAAACAUGAUCUUGCCUUUUUAAUUCAUUCACUGGGUAUUUACUGAGCAUCUGUUAUGUGUCAGGUACUGUUCUGAGCACGUAGCAUACCCAUAUAGAGCAAAACAUCAAAUAUCUCUGUCCUCAUAAGCUGAUUAUCCAGUGGAGGGGAAGAAAGAGACAUAAAACAAUAAACAUAAUACAUUAAUAUUGGGCAUAGAUGAUAAGUAUGAUGAAAAUAGGUAGAGCAGGGUGGAUUCAAAUGCAGCUUAGUUUAUGAAGUUACUCUCUCUCUCUUUCUCUCUUGUGUUCUCUCCCCCCUACCCCCCAUGCCACCAGCUAUCACUGUUAACAGCCUCCCUUCAAUCCUGAGGGAACCAGAGUUAAGAUGAAUGUGGCAGGGGAAAGACGAUAAGCCUGGAUUCUUGCUGACCAGUUGAAAUGCUGGAUCAAACCCUUCCUAAAGUCCACUAUACUUCUGCUUUAAACUCCAGCAUGGCCCCACUUCACCUUGUAGGCUACUGAGGCUGGAGGAAAUUCAGGAAAUCCACAAACUCUGUGGGAAGAAGGAUGAUGAGAUAAUGGAAUAGACUUCUCUCUGGUACUGCCUCUGGCUUACUGUGUAACCUUAGGCAAGUGUCUUGUGAUCUCUGAGCCCAGGUUUCUCAACCAUAAAAUGAUAUGGGAAUAUCUAUUUGACAGGGUUGUCUGAAAGAAGGAUAAGGAAGCAUAUGUGGGGACCCUGGGAAAAGAUUUAGCACACAGUAGGGGCUCAAUAAAUGGAUUCUUAUGGUUACUAGGGCUAUUUGCAGGAUGCCAGUUCUCCUCUUGCCAGGAAAGUGUUACCGUUGCACUCCCCUGCUGUUAGGGGUUGGAUUGUGUCCCCUCAAAUUCAUAUGUUGAAGUCCUAACCCUGAAGUACUGCAGAAGGUGAUUUUAUUUGGAAAUAAGAUCAUUGCAGAUGUACUUAAUUAAGAUGAGAUCAUGCUGGAGUAGGGUGGGUUCCUAAUCCACUAUAACUGAUGUCCUUAUAAAAAGGGGACAUUUGGACACAGAGACACAUGCACACAGAGAAAAUGCCACGUGAAGACUGGAGUUAUGCUACCACAAGCCAAGAAACCACCAGAAGCUAGGAGGGAUGCCUGAAACAGAUCUNNNNNNNNNNNNNNNNNNNNNNNNNNNNNNNNNNNNNNNNNNNCAUGGCCCUGACCUUGAUCUCAAACUUCUGGCCUCCAGAACUGUAAGACAAUAAAUAUCUGUUGUUUGAGUCACUCAGUUGGUGGUACUUCAUUAUGCAGCCUUAGCAUCCUAAUGCACAUGACUUUUGAAGUGAGGCAUGGCUCCACCAGUUGCUUUGACCAUAAAAUGUGUGCAGAAUUGAUGUGCAUUACUUCCAAGUGGAAUCCUUUAAAAGCAAGUGUGCAGUUCUCCAUAUCCUCUUCCUUGCCUCAGAGACCACCAUGUUUCCACCCAUUGGCCUUGAUGCCUGCAUACAGUGGACACAGGAGCUCUCUGCCAACUUAUGUUGGACAUAUAGUGUGACUGAUAAAUAAGCCUUGGUUGUCUUAAGGCCACUAAGACUUUGGGAUUUGCUACGGUUGUUAUGGUUGUGUAGAUUCCUUGAAAACUUAGUGGCUCAAAAAUAACAAUUUAUUACUUCUCAUGGUUAGAAGUAAUAACCAUGGUGGGUCAGGAAUUUGGGGACAACUUAGCCAGGCAUCUCUGGUUCAGAAUCUCUCACAAGGUUGCAGAUAAGCUCUCAGCUGUGGUUGCAUCAUCUGAAGUCUUGACUGGGGCUGGAGAAGCCACUUCCAAGGUGGCUCCCUCUAGUAGUUGGUGGGGGGAGGUCUCAGUUCCUUUCCACAGUGCAGCUUGAGCACCCUCACAACAUGGCAGCUGGUUUUCCCCAUUGUGAAUGAUCCAGACAGGGCAAAGAGGAAGUUGGAGUGUCUUUUACAUCUCAGCCUCAGAAGUUAGUCACAGUCACAUCCACUGUGUUCUUUGAUCACAUGGGUCAGCCUUGAUUCAGGAUGUGAGAGACUCCACAAGGUCGUGAGUUCCAGGAGGUGAGGCCCCAGGGCCCAUCUUGGGGGCUGACUCCAUAAGGUUGCUGUAACUGCACAACCAGCCCAUCCUGACUGAUAGAAGACACCAUAGCACUGCCUGGCUGGGAAACCUUAGAAGAAUUUCUCCUCCUUUCUGUACCUGAGUUUCCACAUCUGUAAGAGAAGAGGUUUGUUCACUUGUCAGCAGGGUGGGAAGGGUGACUUCCUAGGAAGUAAACCGAGUCCAUUGAUUCUGGGAGACUCACAGAGUUCAUGGGAGAAAAGCCCUCCUUCUACUCCCCUGCUUGUUGUCUGAAUUAAAGAUUUGAACCCAGAAAUCUUGUCCUGGAGAUCCAGAGGUGUCUGAGGUUGUAGAGUCUGGAAUGAGAUCUACAGGUCUUGGAUCUACUGUCUGCCAGCUGUGUGACCACUAGCGAGAGGCUGGAUCUCUCUGGGCUUCAGUUUUCUCAUCUGUAAAAUGGAGCUAACACUAGCGCCUACUUCAUAUGGGAGGUGAGGGUUGAAACUUUAACUCAUUACUGACCACAGGACCUAGCAUGGUCUUUGCUUUUGAGCCUGCUCAUAGGAAGCAUGUGCUAAUGUUGGCUGCUAUAAUCAUGACUUAACCAGCCACUGAGAGAACUAACCCCUGGUGAGCACCUCCUACAGGGUCCCAGAGUCAUUGAACCUCAGAGUUGAAAGAGAUUCUAAGCAUCCUUGCAUUCAAGUCCUUUCAUAUUCCAGGUGGGACAGAGGAAAUCUUGGCUUGGGUAGCAGUGAACUUCCUGAUCUUUCUUUCCAGGAACUCUACUGCGUGCUGCCUGUGGGCACAACAUUUGGGCCAAGAAAUGGAUGGGAGUUAGCUAGGAGAGAUGGAACAAGCCAGUCAGGUGUGAGUAAAAACCUGAUGUGGAAGAGAUUGGGACGAGAUGUCAAAAGACAGGGUGGGACAUCCCAUUGUGGUGCAGUGGAAAUGAAUCUGGCUAGUAUCCAUGAGGACACGGGUUCAAUUCCUGCGUUAGGAUCCGGCGUUGCUGUGAGCUGUGGCAUAGGUUGCAGAUGUGGCUUGGAUCUGGCAUUGCUGUGGCUCUGGCGUGGGCCAGCAGCUGCAGCUCCAAUUUGACCCCUAGCCUGGGAAAUUCCCUGUGCCGUGGGUGUGGCCCUAAAAAAAAAAAAA
rnacentral:lncRNA from 1 species